CUAUGCGCCUUGCCAGCCCGCUCAGUCAGAGUUUGAUCCUGGCUCAGGACGAACGCUGGCGGCGUGCCUAAUACAUGCAAGUCGAGCGGAGUUUAUCGGGAGCUUGCUCCUGAUAAACUUAGCGGCGGACGGGUGAGUAACACGUAGGCAACCUGCCCGUAAGACUGGGAUAACUACCGGAAACGGUAGCUAAUACCGGAUACGCAAGUCUCUCGCAUGAGGGGCUUGGGAAAGGCGGAGCAAUCUGUCACUUACGGAUGGGCCUGCGGCGCAUUAGCUAGUUGGUGGGGUAACGGCUCACCAAGGCGACGAUGCGUAGCCGACCUGAGAGGGUGAACGGCCACACUGGGACUGAGACACGGCCCAG
rnacentral:rRNA from 1 species